rnacentral:snRNA from 1 species
GUGCUCGCUUUGGCAGUACAUAUACUAAAA